GACGAACGCUGGCGGCGUGCUUAACACAUGCAAGUCGAACGGAAAGGCCCUGCUUUUGGGGGGUGCUCGAGUGGCGAAAAGGGGAGUGAAACGUGAGGAACCUGCCCUUGAUUUUGGGAGAACUGCAGGAAACUGGGGGUAAUACCGGGGAGAGGAUCCUGCUGCAGGGUGUGGGUGGGGAAGGUUCGGCGGUUGGGUAUGGACUCGCUGCGUGUCCGCUUGGUGGUGGGGUGGGGGCUUACCAAGGCUUUGACGGGUAGCCGGCCUGAGAGGGUGACCGGCCACACUGCGACUGAGACAACGCCCAGCAUCCUUCGGGAGGCAGGAGCGGUGAACACUGGCCAAUGGCAGCAACCCUGCGGCAGCAACGCCGCGUGCGGGAUGACAGCCUUCGGGUUGUAAAGAGCUUUCGACUCUUAUGAAGCGUGAGUGCCGUUCCUGGGUAAAGAAGCACCGGCUAACUACGUG
rnacentral:rRNA from 1 species